rnacentral:rRNA from 1 species
GUGCCAGCAGCCGCGGUAAUACCGGUGGCUCGAGUGGUGGCCGCUAUUAUUGGGUCUAAAGGGUUCCGAGCCGGCCUGAUAAGUUACCUGGAAAUCCGGUGCUUAACCCAUCGGGGCGGCCAGGUAAUACUAUCAGGCUCGGGACUAGGAGAGACCAGAGGUACUCAUGAGGUAGGAGUGAAAUCCUGUAAUCUUAUGAGGACCACCAGUGGUGAAGACGUCUGGUUAGAAUAGGUCCGACGGUGAGGGACGAAGGCUGGGGGCGCAAACCGGAUUAGAUACCCGGGUAGUCCCAGCAGUAAACGAUGCCAGCUAUGUGUUGCUGGAACCAUGGGUUCCAGCAGUGCCGAAGGGAAGCCGUGAAGCUGGCCACCUGGGAAGUACGGUCGCAAGGCUGAAACUUAAAGGAAUUGGCGGGGGAGUACCACAACCGGUGGAGCCUGCGGUUUAAUUGGAUACAACGCCGGGAAUCUUACCGGAGGGGACAGCAGUAUGAAGGCCAGGCUAAA